rnacentral:rRNA from 1 species
CAGCCGCCGCGGUAAUACGUAGGGUGCAAGCGUUAAUCGGAAUUACUGGGCGUAAAGCGUGCGCAGGCGGUUUAUUAAGACAGAUGUGAAAUCCCCGGGCUCAACCUGGGAACUGCAUUUGUGACUGGCAAGCUAGAGUGUGGCAGAGGGGGGUGGAAUUCCGCGUGUAGCAGUGAAAUGCGUAGAUAUGCGGAGGAACACCGAUGGCGAAGGCAGCCCCCUGGGCCAACACUGACGCUCACGCACGAAAGCGUGGGGAGCAAACAGGAUUAGAUACCCGCGUAGUCCCUGUCUCUUAUAC